rnacentral:tRNA from 1 species
GGGGAUUUAGCUCAGUGGUAGAGCGCUUGCCUAGGAAGCACAGGCCCUGGGUUCAGUCCCCAGCUCCG